GGGCCAGAGAACCAGCCCUGGUCAGCAGAGUCCUUAAAAGUCCACGCCCACCGAGUGUCUCAACAGAGGGUCCCAAAAGAAGUUCAAAGAACACAGAAAGAGCCGAGACCCUGAGAUGACGGUGAAAGUUGGACCUGAGCAUAGUCAUCCACGAUGGUCGCCAUCGCCCUGUGCCCAGGCGUCUUGUCUUUCUCGGAAGAAGGGUGGGGAAGUGGGAAUUUUUCUGCAGUCCUGAAUUGAUGAGAAGGACUCAGAGCUGGGACCAGACCCCUCCUCAAGGCAGACUCCUGGCCAUACGCCGCCCUUUGACUCCAUCCAUCACCACCGCCCCUCCAGCCCUCAAGGAAGUCGAUGGAGGAAGAUUACUGAGUAAUGAGGCUUCUGCCCACCGGGGAGGGAUAUGACCGGUCCCACAGGGCCAGGCGCUGCCCUACACCGUGCUUUCAUGCCCCAUGCAGCCCCGUGCCAGGCUAGAAGGCCGGGUGAGUCAAACAGCCUCCACUCAGCAGCACAGCAGGAGGAGGCAGUGGAGCAGCCCAUCCCCUCUCCGUGCUGUGCUAGAAUAGCAGUGGACCCAGCGGAAGGAAGCCAGACGUGGACCCCCCUCUCCUGCCCCUCACCCAUGAGAACUGCCCGCUGGGGGAGGAGAGCCCAGUAGCCCAAGGCUGUUGGUAGGAGGGGGGCGGGGCGCACUGAGCCAGACCCUCCUCAUCAGGGCAUGAGCAGUGGGAGACCCCACAGGGGCCCUGAAGUCCACAUGUGCCCCACAAGUGAACCAUCCAUCAUCCGGAUAAGCAGAGGUAAGCACUGGCCAGUUGGUUAGUGCGAGUCAGAGGAGCUGCCACGGCCAACGGAGAGAGACAGCAAGGGGGGCCAGCUAGGGAGUCACUCUCAGGCCUGUUCCUCUCCCUCCCCCACAUCUCUCCACUCCAGGGCAAAGGGAGAGGAGGCCUGGAGGAGCCAGACCACACUCCACCCCGCCCCAGGCUCCACACUCAGGGUCCCAGCUCCGGCUGCCCCAGCCUCGGGGCAGGGGAGCGACGGGAAGCGAGAUGGAAGUCCAGUUUGCGAUGGAAGUUGUGAAAACUAUUGUGGACGAUGAAGAACUGAAAGUGACCAGGAAGCAAACUAUUAAGGGACACGAGAGGGAGAUUUGACUGCAGUGAGUUAAAAACAAUGACUGGAGGAAAAAUAAAACCAUUUCAGCUUAAAUGCCCCUGAACUGAGACUGCUAAGCUGGCGACAGCCCCUUCUGGGCACAAGGAAGCUAAGGCUCAGAGAGGUGCUGUGACUUGUCCCCACCAAGCCGCUAGUCAGGGGCCCAGCUGGGACUCCGCAUCUUCCUUCUCAAACUUGGGGCCGCGAGGCUGUCUUCUUUCCCGCCCAGCAUGUCCACUUCCUCGGGCCCCGCUCGCUCCACAGCGCCCCCGGCAGCCUCUUUUUCGUUUCCCUGCCACCCCGCUGGCUCCAGGUCCUGGUCUCUGGCCUAGACUGUCUCAGCAGCAACCGAUGCAUCCUCCAGGAACUGCCAGUCUCCUCUCCUGUGACAAGAGUCAGUCUUCCGUGAUUGAUGACACUGCUGGGGGAGGAUGUAUGGCAACCGAGUUCCUUUCGGAGGACCUGCCUCUAAGCAGAUAAGAUAAUGCCUUCUGAAGCCAAGGAGCUUGGCGUCUUUGUUCUCUACUUCUGCGCUGUUUAGAUUAUGGGAGGCUAAGGCCGACGUAACGAAGUAUCACAAACUGGGCGGCUGGAACAACAGAAAUUUGCUUUUCUCACGGUUCUGGAGGCUGGAAGUCUGAGAUCAAGGUGUCAGCACGGCUGCUUCCCUGUGAAGGCGGUGGGGAACAACCUGCUCUGUGCUCCUCUCCUGGCUUCCGGUGGUUGGCUGGCAUCCCCUGACACCCGCCUCCAUCUUCAUGCGGCGUUCUCCCUGAGUGCGUGUCUGUCUCUGUGCCCAAAUUUCCCCUUUUACAAGGACACUAGUCAUUGAAUUAGGGCCCAUCCUAGGACUGCAUUUUAACUUAACUAAUUAAAUCUGCAAAUGAAGUCAUUGUGAUAGUUGGUUUUGUGUGUCAACUUGAUGACACCAUGGUACCCAGAUAUUUGCUCAAACGUCAGUCUAGAUGUUUCUGUGAAGGCAUUUUUUUCCAUGAGGUUAACAUUUAAAUCAGUAGGCUCUGAGUAAGGCAAAUUACUCUCCAUAACUUGAUGGGUUGAAGGCCUUCACAAAACAUAGAGUGACCUCCUUGAGGCAAGAAGACAUUCCAGCAGGAGGCUGCCUUUGGACCAAAACAGUGACUCCUCCUUGGAUCCUUAGCCUGCCAGCCUACUUUGUAGAUUUGGACUUGCCAAGCUCCACGAUCACAUGAGCCAACUCCCUAAAAUAAAUCUCUCUCUCUCAUCUACAUAAUAGAUAUGUACGUAUAUCCUAUUGGUUUUCGUUCGCUGAAGAACCCCGACUGAUACUAAUAUGGUCAUAUUCUGAUGUACUGGGGGGUUAGAACUCAAACACAUCUUUUUGGAGGACAAAAUUCAACCCAUGACAUAAAUUGUUCAGGAUCCCAGUGAAUGACGUGUGUGAGGAUAGGGGGCAGGCAUUUCCGUCAAUUCUGUGCACGUCUCACACUCCAGGACUGCUGUCGCUGCCAACAGCACCAUUUUACAAUCCCACCAGCAAUGUACAUAUGAGGGCUCCAAUUUCCCCACAUCCUUGGUGUGUCUUCUUAACUCUCUCAACCUAUGGGUUUCCCCUGUACCUUUUUUUCCCUUCUACUUUAUUUGUUGUUUGUUAAACUGGGUCAUUUUUCCUGUGGAUGUUCCUACAGUCUGUAUUUAAUGAUUAUAUUUCCAUGUACUGUUUAAAAUGUUUCUAUUUCCCCCUUAUUUCCUGUUAACUACCCCACCCCAGGGGACUCCCUCCACCUCUACUCCCCACAGUCGCACUGGCCUUGUAUCUCCACAAGGGUACCAAGCCCUUCCUGGCCCAGGGCCUUUGCACAUGCUGCUUCCUCUGUCUGGAACAUCCUUCCCCUCUACUUUCCCCAGGACUGGCUCCUUUUCAACUGCAGAUCUCCGAUUAAACAUCCCUCUUCAAAGAGAACUUCACUGACCCCCCCAGUCCUGAUCCCUCUCUCUCUGAGCACCCUCGCUCCUUUCAUUCCUUGUUCUUAGCACAGUUUUCACUGCACAUUUCUCGGCAAGGACAUCUGUCUACAGUCAUCAGACUGAGAGCACUGCGAAGCAGGGCCCAUGUCUGCUUUGCUCCUGACUGUAGCCCAGUGCGAGUCACGGCACCGUUCACUUGCUACACAGAUGAACGAGUCGACAAAGGAGUGCUGGACCUGAGUGCAAACCAGCAGCCAGAUUCUGUGUAGCGACACGAUGCCUGGAUCCAGGACGAAGGCUUGCACAGAGAGGUCAGUAAUCCGCGGACCACCAAGGGGAAGCACAGUGUCACCUGCUCUUAGUUAAUAUCAGCCCUGAUGUUGGUUCCCCUACAAUGAACCCAGCAUAGAUGGGUUAAAACUAAAGGCACAUAUUCCCUGGGUCUUUAGUUACGCUCAUAUGUAAAUGCUUGCUUCUUUAACCUCUGACCCCCUGAGUUAUAGAGCCAAAUAGAAGUUACAAAUUGUUCAAGUGCAGAUGACUUCACGCUGGGCUCUCACUAACAUUGAGGCUGAUCCCAGGACCUUGAAGUCCUUUUACAGAGAAACUACUGUCCAGAGAAUAUCAAGAAACCGAAGAUUCCCAGGCCCAACUUCUCGGCUUCCUGACGUCAGAGUCCACCUUCCACUGUGGAGACAAACAGCCAAGGACGCUCAUCUGAGAAAGCCUUUGUCUCCUCCACUGGAAGCAGCCCCAGACACAAGCCAAUGGGAAAAUGCUGACCAGGAAGGCCAUGGUCCCCUCCCCUACCUAAAACCCUAAGUAAAAACCCCUACCCAUUUCUUAGUGGGGAGAAAGCAACUUUUGGGGCACUGGCCCUCGCUUUGCUCCCUCUGCCUGGCGAGGUAAAGCCUUUCAUUUUUCACCCAAGACUCCAUUCUCAUUAUUUGGAUUGGCAUCGGGAUCAGAGACCGAACUUUCGGUGACAACAGGAGUCAGUGAAAGCCCUGGGGACAUUCCUCUGUCGAACAUAAUCACCUCGUGUUUGAAUUAAGGUCAGGCUCAUUAUUUACGGCCUCCGCUGCACGUCCAAAAUUACAUGAAUUCCACAAGCUUAAACUGCGUGACGCCCAGGCGAAUGGCCUUUCCCCCCUCAUCCCCAUGUGAAGAGCCAGAAGGUCACAGUUCCUCUCGUUUUCCCUCUGGAGAAUCUGGAGAAGCUAUGCGUCUCGUCCAUCACAAGGGAGACGGGGACGGAGCAGGAAGCCGUGGGUCUGGCGGCGGACUUAGCCCUGAACCCUGCUCUCCCACUUACCUGCUUGGUGACCGGACGGGUCACUUAAACCUCCUCACUCUGCUUCCACAUCUGCAAAGUGGGACUGACAGUGCCUUCUCCACUGCCAAGCUGACGGCGAGAAUCGCAGGGACCACCCGUGUGACGUGUCCAGUCCUGGCACAUCAACCGGACCCUUGCCUUCCCCAGGGCAUCCCCACUCUGCUAUUUCGUCAGGUCUCCCACGAUGGUCAGGACACGCCCCGCUACGCCGCCACCAGAAACGAACCAGCCAGCAAAGAGGAAGGCAGUUUCUCCCUCAGGUUAAAAAUUAUUAUCCUUGACAAGAGAAUGACAGACAAAUUCCUCAUCGACGAAUUUUCUGGUUAAUGUCGUCGUUCGGCUGCUUUAAAUCUUUUUUGUAAGUAGUUAGGUAUUCAUUAUAAAUAAUUUAUAAGUUAGACUUCCUUCCCGCUUACAAUAGAAGCUGUGAUAACCAAGUUCAUAGAGAACAGAAACGUUCUAUCCUCGCUCUCUGUAAUAAUAAGAGCGUUUACGCAGCACCUUCUAUGUACUAGACGCUUCUCCGUGCUCAACGUGUAUGAACUAAUUUAGUCCACUCGACAACACUGUGGCUGUUGGACUAGUAUCAUCGCCCAUUUUACGAGAUGGGGAAACCAAGGCACAGGGAGGUUCAGGAACUAGCCCAAGGUUACAGAUGUAGGAGGUGAUCAAGCCAGGCUUCAAACCCAGGCAAAGCCCAAGUUGGGGCUCCAGGUCCCCACACUGGCAGUCCCUCCAUGCUGAUUACUGGACUAUAUAGAACAUCCACCUGCACACACAGCACGCGGUGCUCUUGCAUAGACUGGUGCUCCCCUUCUUAUGCCUACUUCCAUGUUCGUGGGAAAGAAAAGGGACGGAAAUGGAGUUUGUGGGCGGAGAGGGGUGGGGAAAAAGCUACAGGAUGGAGAAUUAAGUCUGGUUUGGUUUGCUCUUGUCCUCUCUUCCGUUUGUGCGUUGUCUGCUGCUGUAACAAGAAGACCCUCCGUGAAUCGCUGAGCUGCGGGGUGGGGAGGGGUUCGGCCAUCAGGAAGGAAGGGAACUGGUUUCUGGGGUGUGGGUGCUCCUGGCUCUCAGAGAGGGACGGGCUCUUCGGGGUUUUAGGCUCAGAGACCUCCCUAGUGGGCCCCCUAGCUCUUGCCCAUGAGUCAUCCAGCUUGAUUGGGAAGAAGGGACAGGGUGAAUGCACACUUUGUGGCCUUUGUUCAGGGAGAUAAGAAAAGCCCCAGCCCCUGGUGGCUCCCAGGCAAAGGCCUGGGAAGGGGGCCGUGAAGGCAGAUAGAUGCCUGAGUUAGCCAGACCAGCACCCCGGCAGCGAGGGACCCCCAAGAGCCAUGGCUGAUCCGAGAGCCAGGGAGCCAUUUUCAAGUCAGGGGCUCUAUGGUGAAGCUGGCACGUGCAAUCACCCACAAAGCUAGAGGGACCCUGGGGCCAGCGGGGGCAGCAGCCUGCGUGCCCUGGGGCCCUGUCCUGUCACAGGUGGAGGUCACCUGGGCCAUGUGCAAGGGGCAGCACAACUGGCCUAGUCACACAGGUCUGGACCCCUUGGCCCUUGAGAACACUUGCCAGGGCAGCUCGAUUGAGGGAAAACUGAAAAGAAAGAAGUUUUUAUUCAAUGCCUUCAGUUUUAGACACUUCUCCAAGAGGCUUCCAGGAGAGAAUAUUCUAGCAAACACGUAUCUAAUUAUUCAUAGAAGUUAAUGAGUUCUCUAGAUAGGAACUUGAGAGGGCAGGCAGAAGGGGGAACAGGUGAAUAUAAGUCUUAACUCCGGUCUCCCCUGUGCUUAACCCUCACAGUGAAGACUACUUGAUGCACCAGCGUCCCUGGAAAAUUCCAGAUGAUGCGAACAGGCAUGAAAGGAAACGCUGAGAACAAUCAGAGGGUUCUGUGUACAGGCGGGAGGACAGCUCUGCUUUCGCGAGUCGGAUCCGGGGCUGACAGCUUCUGCUGAGGUCUGGUUGUUCUGUCGGUACACAGCCAGAGUUUCCUUGGAGAAGCCACCGUAGACUAGGGUUAGUUGGAGCUGUUUGACUCACAGCCUGUGACGCGGCGCGGUCUGUGAGGGCGCCUGCACCGUUCUAGCCAUAGCGGCACCGAGUUGGCGGAAGUGGCCAUCGCUGAGGAAGGGUCAGUUCAGACCUCCUUGGGUUACAGCCAAGAAGGUCGUAUCUGUAGCAGAUGAGGUCUCCGAGAAAGAUAGCGGGAAGAUAUUUCUUUGUGAACCGAAUCAAGGAAGACACAUCACGUGUAUGCUUGAAUGUUGUCAUUUGAAUACCUGACCUUUGGCAGUGACUCUUGGGUUGGCUUAACCAACUACACGUGGUUCGUGCGUGUACCUGUACACACACAAACACACACACACAGGAUUAUGCAUAUAAGGGGAUUUUCUGGCAAAAUACUGUACUACCAGUAAGUAGGAUUGGGGUAAACAUGUCAGAGGUGCUGGUCAGAGCCUCCCUAUCUUCAUUCCCUUCUUGGGUAAUUUGCCCUCUCAUGGCCCCUAGAAGGCAGAGCGCCAUUGACCCUGCUCGUGUCACACCCCUGGCCACAGAUGACUGGACCACGUGCUCAACCAACUCAAAGGACCCCAGGCCACAGGCGGGGCUGUGCCAGUCUUAUUUUCUCUUUCUCUUUUUCUCUCUCAAGACAUUGACCUAAGAGACAUGGAGAUGGUCAAAUGCCCGUGCUUGUGUAGAAUCAAGACUGGGGGAGUAUGCCGAUGAGUCAGAGGAAAGGCAGAGAGAAGCAGGAGACGGGCGCAGAUGCACGGAGACAGGCAGCGAGCAGGAGAGCCUGAGGCCCCAUGAGAGAGGCAGGGACAGCUGAGACCCCAACAGCCCAGGCCCACUCUCAUGAGCCAAGGAGCCAUCAUUGCCAACCUCAGUCCGGAGGUUGCCGUCCCGUCCUUGACUCUUGACAGUAACCCCCAGUAAACUUGAACUAGUUUGAGUAGUUUCUGUUCUGAGCAACUAAAUAACCCCUAAGACAGUACGACUGGACAAGACGAGAGAGGAGGUGUCAAGGCCUCUAAAGACAAGCGUGUCUAAAUGAGCAUUGUUGGAUGUCUGGUUGACUUUAAAAUACUUCAGCAAGGUAGAGUCAGUCAUAUUAUGUGUGUGCCGGGUCGUUUAAGCUUUAAGCUUUUCCUCUAAGGGCCGUCGGCUGCUCUAAUGGAAAAUUCCACGCCUGGGGAGUCUGCUGGUAUUUCAGCAGAAAAGCCACACUCCAGAAGCAGCCGCCUCAAGUGCUUCUGUGAUCGAUCUCUCACUGGAUACCUGAGGCUUUGUUCAUGAGCACAGGCAAUGUCAGAAAUGGGUUUUUACCAUUGAAAUUAGUUCAUUGUUAAUAAGUGUGAUGAAUAUUAGAAACGGGCUCAUGGGUGAUAUUAAAGGUAUCUGAGAUAUGUGGAUUGGCUAAAACAUUUCAGCCGUGUACCAUCCUUCGCUGUUCAGUGAGCAGCAUGGUGGACACAGAGAUGGGUGGCCCAGGUUCCCGCUAUUCCAGAAAGGGCUCGCUGCCCAGCUGUGGGGAGUGUGGUCAAUAGACAUCUGCAGCCAUCUGCUCCUUCAAGGUUGGUUUCAGUUAUAGAGCGCCCCCUUGCCCAAGGCCACCUGCCCUGGGGCAGCCCUUAUCCAGUGACUGAGCCAGGUGGGGAUAGAGCCCAGCCAUUCUGACCCAAUGCAAACAACCCUGAUGGGCAUAUUCAGUCGGAGCUCAACAUCGGCUUGGCUGAGGCUGCGCCCACAUGCGUUACCCUUCAACUUUUCCUCUGCCCAAUCUGGACUCCUUCUCCCUUCUUUUUUAAAAAAUUUACCUUAAAUUUUAUUGAAUUAAAUUAAUCUAACAAAACAGAUUCAAAUAGAGCAGUUACUAUUAAUUAAUAAGUAGUAGUAAUUAUUUUAUUAGCACUCAUAAUAUCUUAAGUUAUUAGCAUUAAUAAUUCCCUUCGGUGUGUAGAUUAUAAAGCUGUAUCAAUAUGGCAAUAGAUAAACACCUAAUUACAUCGUCCCCUUGAUAAACCAGUAAGGGGAGACAAGUGUAGUCAGUCUACACGAAGUGUAAAGAUCAUCUGUACUCUGCGAUAUUCAUUUACUCUGAGUUGUUUAUUUUUAAGCAGAACUAGCUGGCCAUAGGUGUUAAUUGGUCACAUUAUUUGCGUUUGUUUGCGAUGACGGGUUCUCCCCCUUCCUUCCACAGGAUUUGAUCCCUAAUAAACAUUUUGCACCCCAAACUCUGUCUCAGCACCUGCUCCCAUGGAACCUGACUGGUGACGAGUUGGGCACAGGGAACCACUGAGGCUCAUAGCCCUGAGUGAGUGCUGGGGCUACCCCAACAAGACACCCGGACCGGGCGCUUCAACCAGCAGCUGUCUCAGAGUUCUCUGUCCCCAGCUUAGCCAGAACCCUCCUGAUCUGCUCAAAGACCUGGGACACUGGGACACUUUUUCUUCAUAUCUGAAGAGUGCUUACGCUUAGGAUAGAACCAUGAAGCUGAGGAAAUGUGCCGCUAGCCUAUUUCCCACUGCAUCUGGAAGAAAAGAGGGGGAAUGUUAAGAGAAAUUAAGAUUUAUUUUAAGGAACGGGCUCACAUGAUUGUGGGAGGCAGGUCCAGAAUCUGAAGGGCAGGCUGGCAGCCUGGUGCUUCAAGGAAGGGCUAUUAGUGCAACUCUUGAGUCAGUUAAUGAGUCCGAAGGCUGGAAACUCAGGCAGAAUCUCUAUGUUGUAGUCUGGAGUCAGAACUCCUUCCUCUUUGGGGUAUUUCUGUCUUUGCUCUUGAGACCUUCAACUGAUUGGAUGAGGCCCACCCACAUUAUGGAGGGUAAUCUACCUUACUCAAAGUUUACUAAUGUAAGUGUUAAUCACAUCCAAAAAUGCCUUCACAGUAACAUCUAGACUGGUGUUUGACCAAGAUGCUGGGCACAGUGGCCUAGCCAAGCUGACACAGAAUAUGAACCAUCACAAAUGUCUGUCUUUAGGGAUGGCCUCUGCAGCUUGAUCGUGUCCAGUCCAGCAUCUGUGCGUUGGUCAGGAGGAGCUCUGGGCGCCUGUUGCAGAGUCUCCGUGUAACGGACUCCUGCCUCUUGGGUGUUGUUCCCGCUCCCUAACGUGACCCUCUCAUACAAGGCGGUAGAAAGAACUCCUAAAAGCACAGAGUCCUGGGUCUCCAUUGAGCUCACCAGUUUGUGUAAACUUUUUGAGUCUGUUAAUAAAAUACUGCUUAAUGAAUUUCUGUGUGCAAGGCCAAAUUUGGUAGAAGAUUUACUUUCUAAACUGGGGGCAAAGUUGCAGGGGACUCGUUCCCCCUUCUUUACCUCAUGCUUCUUUCAAUACCAUCAUCAACUGCCAAGCACCUGAGAGCCGUGCACAUGACCACGUUGACUAGGUCCGCUCAUGACAAUGGUGACGUGUGGUUUCAUUUCAGCUCAGGGACUCUCAUGGGACUCACACCCUCAUUUCACUCAGGUCUGUCUGUUCAGAUGGCACCCCUUCCGAGCAGCCUUCCGGGAUGAUCGAAUCUAGCUAAAUUAGCCAACGGAAUCGCACACACUCUCACACCGCAUGCAUUAUCUGUCACUAUGUCCAAAUCCCCCUCAUUCUCCACAUUGGCAUUUAUCAAACCCAAACGACAUUUAGCAGUUUGUUUAUUUAUUUUGUUUGUUCCUCUGCCGGUAUGCAAGCGUCAUUAGGGCAGAUAUCUUGCUCCCAGCUGUCUCUCUAGAGCAUGGACCUUGCUGGGCAUAUGUUAGAAGUGAAUCAUUAUGUGCUGAUUGAACACAUGAAUAGACCUACGCAAAAGUCUACACCUGCCAGGUGGCAGCCAUGGGGGGGCACUGGCCUUUAAGGCACAAAAGAGGUGGCUCAAAACAGGUAGCCAGCCGUCAGCUUUCAGUCCUGUGGCUCCGCCUUGCCACUCUUUCCCUGUGCCAUUCUCACUCUUUGAACACCUUGAUUCUAGGUCUUGCACAGAAACCCACCUAGAUUCCAUUUCUGAUCCCCAAGAAACAGUUCAGCGGACCAGCCCAAUUGUAUGAGAAGUUCAGCAAAUGUUGUUCUGGAUUAAGCGAUAUCUUUUGACUCUUUGUGGGUCAGUGGAUGUGCCUCAACAGAAACACUGGACUACAGUGACAGGUUGCUAAUUAAAACGACAGGGCCUGGGGAGUGGGGUGGUUGCUAAGCAGACAGAGUGUGCUAAGUAAAUUGAUAACGCAAACAAAACUCCAGGGGAAACUUUCAGUCCACAUACAAGGACCCUGGGCUUUCAAAUAUUGCUUAAGCAGAUGAGAAGCAACUACUUAUCUACCAAAAAAUUGGUAUGUCAAGUACAAAUCAUCUUCAUCAAAGCAAUUCUUCUAAGUUUCUAUAGCAGGGAGCAGUUCACUAAUCUAGUUGCAGGAUAUAUUUGCGAAAAAGAAAAAUAAAGAAGGAAAAGGUAUGUAUCUCUAGCUAGAUCUCUCCAUCCAGAAUUGGUUUAAAUGAAAUUUUAAUUUUUAGCACCAAGAAAAACAAUAGCAACUUGUGUGACUCAGUUAGUGAUCGUGGUGAUGGUGGUCAUGGUGGUGGUGGUGGUGGUGAUGGUAGACAUGGUGGUAUUGGUGAUGGUGG